CAGUUUGUCGCGUAGUUGAAUCGCGAAUGAGCUUUACCUUUUCAGGAACCGGAAGAAGCGUUAUGAAGAGUUACACUGCGUUUGGCUUAUGUGUUGUUGUAUUCAUUAGAUUAUUUUCUCCCCUCGUUUUUGUUAUUACAAGUUUGUAAGAGGGAUAGGAAUUGUAUGUUUUAAAUAUGUAAUAUAUUGAGUUAUUAUGUAAGGAGUCUUGUAUAUGAAUU